rnacentral:rRNA from 1 species
UACGUAGGGGGCGAGCGUUGUCCGGAUUUAUUGGGCGUAAAGAGCUCGUAGGCGGUUUGGUAAGUCGGGUGUGAAAUCUCCACGCUCAACGUGGAGGGGCCACUCGAUACUGCCAUGACUCGAGUCCGGUAGAGGAGUGUGGAAUUCCCGGUGUAGCGGUGAAAUGCGCAGAUAUCGGGAGGAACACCCGUAGCGAAGGCGGCACUCUGGGCCGGAACUGACGCUGAGGAGCGAAAGCGUGGGUAGCAAACAGG